rnacentral:lncRNA from 1 species
AACUAAAAAACUUUCAUCAAGAUUUACACCACUCGAUCUUAACUGCUCAACUAUAUGCUCAAAAUCAUGAAGCUGGUCAGACAUGGACAUAUUAUCUACCAAUUUAAAUUUAAUUAAAUCAGACGCCUGAUAUCUCUUCUAGGUAGGAUCAACUUGACCAUACUUAUUUUCUAAGGAUGUCCAAAGUUUCCUAGCUGUCUUAGCACUACAGUAGAUGUCAUAUAAUUUGUCAGAUAGGGUACUUAGAAUUCGGUUUAAACAAUGAUAAUUGAUCAUGUUAUGGUCAACGGGAGGUACGGUGGUAGUUGUGGAUGUAGUUGCAAUUUUGGUAGUGGGAGGAGUGGAU